UUAUAUUUCAACACUCCUAAAUCUGGAUCCGAUCUAAGGUUUCAACCCAAAUCUAGAAAAUUUUUUGAAGGUGUGAUUAGGGCUUCGAAGGUGCGAUUUGGUUCAAGAAGGUGUAGCGGUGGUGGGGGUGGUUGAGGCAGUGGGUUCGUGGUGCUUGUGGGGUGGGUUCGUGGUGGCAGUGGAGGUGGUUGUGCCGUUGGAUUGGUGGUGGCGUUGUGGGGCGGUGUGUCGUUGGGUUUGUGGGGGUGGUUGUUGCGGUGGGUUAGUGGUGGCUGUUAGAGUUGGCUGUGGUGAUGAUGAUGUGGUUUAGUCUAAGAUAAUGAUGAUAGUGAGAGAGUGUGUGAGUAUGUGUAGAGUGUGUGUGUAUAUAUAUAUAUAUAUCUGAAUAAAAGAAAAAAAAUAUGUUUUU
rnacentral:lncRNA from 1 species